rnacentral:rRNA from 1 species
GGUAUAGGGAGCUUGCUUCCUGAGACCGGCGCACGGGUGCGUAACGCGUAUGCAAUCUACCUUGUACAGGGGAAUAGCCCAGAGAAAUUUGGAUUAAUGCCCCAUAGUAUUAUUAAAUGGCAUCCUUUAAUAAUUAAAGUUCCAACGGUACAAGAUGAGCAUGCGUCCUAUUAGUUAGUUGGUGUGGUAACGGCAUACCAAGACGAUGAUAGGUAGGGGUCCUGAGAGGGAGAUCCCCCACACUGGUACUGAGACACGGGCCAGACUCCUACGGGAGGCAGCAGUGAGGAAUAUUGGACAAUGGGCGCAAGCCUGAUCCAGCCAUGCCGCGUGCAGGAAGACGGUCCUAUGGAUUGUAAACUGCUUUUAUACAGGAAGAAACACUGGUUCGUGAACCAGCUUGACGGUACUGUAAGAAUAAGGAUCGGCUAACUCCGUGCCAGCAGCCGCGGUAAUACGGAGGAUCCAAGCGUUAUCCGGAAUCAUUGGGUUUAAAGGGUCCGUAGGCGGCCUUAUAAGUCAGUGGUGAAAUCUCCUAGCUCAACUAGGAAAUGGCCAUUGAUACUGUAGGGCUUGAAUUAUUGUGAAGUAACUAGAAUAUGUAGUGUAGCGGUGAAAUGCUUAGAUAUUACAUGGAAUACCAAUUGCGAAGGCAGGUUGCUAACAAUAUAUUGACGCUGAUGGACGAAAGCGUGGGGAGCGAACAGGAUUAGAUACCCUGGUAGUCCACGCCGUAAACGAUGGAUACUAGCUGUUUGGAGCAAUCUGAGUGGCUAAGCGAAAGUGAUAAGUAUCCCACCUGGGGAGUACGAACGCAAGUUUGAAACUCAAAGGAAUUGACGGGGGCCC